rnacentral:ncRNA from 1 species
UGUUUGUUUGUGUGUGUGUUUGUAUGUGUAUGUUUGAGGACAAUUUGCAGCAGUCAAUUUAUCUUUCUGCCAUGUGGGUCCUGAAACACAUCAAAUCUUGAGAUUUGGAGUAAGCACCAUUAUCCAACUGAUCCAUCCUGCCAGCCCAGGAUGUUUAUUUCUCAUUUGGAACUCAAUCUAGAACAUUCCAUAUAAUUCAGAAAAUUAAAGUAUUAAAAACAGCAAGAGGAGAAGAAAGGGAUGGAAGUCAAGUGUGUUCUUUUUUUCUUUUUCAUUAUUGGAGACCUUUUUUUUUUGUAUAUUGCAGCCUGACAUGGAAACCUGAAUAUGCCCUAAAUUGACUUCAGACUGCAAUCCUUUCCAGCAGCCUUACAGGUCCAAGAAGACACAACCCACCAUGCCAAAACUCAAAUAUGGUUCUGUAAUUCAUAUUGUAAAAUAGAGAAUAGAGCAUAUUGAAAAAUAAUCAAUAAAGAAAAAGAAAAUGGGGUCUGUGUGAUGCCUUGGUGAGUGAUGACACUUGCCACCAAAUUUGUUAAUCUGAGUUCAAUUCCCAGAACUCACAUGGUAAGUGACAAUUGGUCUGUUGAACUCUGGAAGUUGUCCUCUCUUUUCCAGAUAUAAAGUGACCCCGGAGUGGUCAGCAUCCCCCAACUUUUUAUAGGGACAAGUGGCAUUCAGCCACCUGAGAUUGAGCAAUAACAGGUCUGUGAUGCCCUUAGAUGUCUGAGGCUGCAUGCACACUACACUGACUGGCUCAGCGUGUGCCUACUCUAUGCCAGCAGGAGAGAGUUACCCAUUGAACCCCAUUCGUGAUGGGGAUCAGGGAUUGCAAUUAUUCCCUAUGAAUGAGGAAUUCACAGUAAGUGCGGGUCAUAAGCUUGCAUUAAUUAAGUCCCUGUCCUUUGUACACACUGCCUGUCACUAUUACCUAUUGGGUGGUUUAGUGAGGCCCUCAGAUUGGCCCUGCAGGGGUCUGCCCAUGGCCCUGGUUGCGUGCUGAGAAGAAGUCGAAUUUGGCUAUCUAGAGGAAGUAAAAGUCCCAACAAAGUUUCAGCAGGUGAACCUGCAAAAGGAUCAUUA